rnacentral:rRNA from 1 species
UCAGGACGGACGGUGGCGGCGUGCUUAACACAUGCAAGUCACGGGGGCCCGCAAGGGUAACCGGGGAACGGGUGUGUAACACCUGUGCAAUCUCCCGUACACUGGGGGAUAGCCGGCCCAACGGCCGGGUAAUACCUCCUCCGUUUUUCGGGCGGCAUGGGUUGAAGAAGAAACCUCCGGGGGUGUACGAGGAGCUCGCGGCCUAUCAGGUAGUUGGUGGGGUCUCGGCCUACCAAGCCCCUGACGGGUAGAUGGUUUGAGAGGAUGGCCAGCUCACAAUGGGAAUGAGAUUCGGCCCCGACUCCUUCGGGAGGCAGCAGUGGGGAAUAUUUCGCAAUGGGCGCAAGGCUGACGCAGGGACGCCGCGUGGGGGAUGAAGCAUUUCGGUUGUGUAAACCCCUUUUGCUUUGGGCGAACAGUUUUUUUCGAGGAGCCUGUCGGUUACAGGGGGGGGAAGCCCCGGCUUACUUCGUGCCCGCAGCCCCGGU